rnacentral:rRNA from 1 species
UACGAAGGGGGCUAGCGUUGUUCGGAAUUACUGGGCGUAAAGCGCGCGCAGGCGGCUAUCCAAGUCAGUGGUGAAAGCCCGGAGCUUAACUCCGGAACUGCCAUUGAAACUGUUUAGCUUGAGGACGAGAGAGGUGAGUGGAAUUCCCAGUGUAGAGGUGAAAUUCGUAGAUAUUGGGAAGAACACCGGUGGCGAAGGCGGCUCACUGGACCACAACUGACGCUGAUGCACGAAAGCUAGGGGAGCAAACAGG